UAUUCCUACGGGGGGCAGCAGUAGGGAAUCUUCCACAAUGGGCGAAAGCCUGAUGGAGCAACGCCGCGUGGGUGAAGAAGGUCUUCGGAUCGUAAAACCCUGUUGUUAGAGAAGAAAGUGCGUGAGAGUAACUGUUCACGUUUCGACGGUAUCUGACCAGAAAGCCACGGCUAACUACGUGCCAGCAGCCGCGGUAAUACGUAGGUGGCAAGCGUUAUCCGGAUUUAUUGGGUUUAAAGGGUGCGCAGGCGGCCUGUUAAGUCAGCGGUAAAAGCCCGGGGCUCAACCCCGGCGAGCCGUUGCAA
rnacentral:rRNA from 1 species